CCCCCGUGAAAGCUGCAGCUCUGAGAGUGUGUGGGCAGGGGCUUCAACAGAAUACCUGUGGCUGCACUUACAAAAGGCAGCCAGAAGGACCCGUCCAUUCUGGAAAGUACCUUUAGUCUGAAAGGUACAAAUCAGAACUUUCACCACAUUCCAUCUGGCACUCACUGGUGGUGCCAACACCUCAAAAACCCUGCCGGGGCCAUUUGUCACCAUGUGGACACAGACAGACCACCAGUGAAAGUGGAAUUUUUGAAUGAGCUUGAAUGACCUGCCUAUAUGUGUAGACAGCCAUGGUCACUUUUUCUCCGUAGGAUUAGAUGUGCUGAUUCUAAUGUGGUUCACAUUAGGCUAUUUUCUUUUAAAAGUGAAAUUUCUUUUGGAAGCCUGGGCAUUUAUUGCAGAAAAAAUAUGAGGCUUGCUGGUAGUAUUCCCAGGUGACAAAUGUGCACCCAACACCCUACAGAAAAGAAGAACCAUAAAAUAAUUAAUUAUUCCAUUGUAACUCCUGCCUGGAAAACAUCUGGAAAGAAGUCACUAGAUUCAGCCCACAUUCAAGAUGAGAAAUACCAGAAGGCAGAGAACACUGAGGCUGUUUUAGAGGCUGUCAACCCCAGGGAGACAGACAGCAAAUAAGUAAGCAAAUAAAUAAAAAUGGAAGGUGAUAAUAAGUGCAAUGAAAAGAAAUGAAGCAGAGUAAAGAAUCAAGAGUAGCAGUUGAGGGGGAUGCUUGGAUGUUUUCACACCACUCUGACACAUGGAUGGAAGGUUAGAAGACAACAAAGGAAUGGGCUGGGAAGGACUCCAAAAGCAGAAUCAGAGAUUAUAUCAUUCCUUGGAAAUGGAGAAAAGGAUCAAAAAAGCUGAAUAAAAGGGCAAACAUGGAGGAACAGAGUUUGGAGCAAUACCCUGACUUACAUUCAGUACUGUUAAUGGCUCCAGCAUCUUGAAACAAACCAAUUUUGGAUUUUCAGGUAAA
rnacentral:lncRNA from 10 species